CAAUGAAGUGUAAAUGUUUGCACUACAUUACACUUCAUUUACUAUCGUAUUUACACUUCAUUUACUAUCGUAUUUGUUUACAAUUUUAAUAGUAUUGAUAAAAAUAUUUACACUUCAUUUACUAUCGUAUUCGUUUACAAUUUUAAUAGUAUUGAUGUGAGAUCAUAUCUAUCAUAAUGUAUUUGCUAACAUCAGAAAUUUGGAACUUCAGUUAGUUGUAGUAAUACAGUUGAUUAACAGCUGGAGGAAUUAGCAUAUAGAUUAUGUAUGAAUAGCUUUAUGAUUCAAAUAUGAUAGUUAAUUUUGAAUUCGGUGGGUCAGAUUAUAUAAAAAAUAAAAUACAAGUAUACAUAGAAAGAUGGUUGUUUUUCUGUGGAUAGAAAACAUCUGCCUGAAGAAAAUGUCAUCAAAUAUAAAUUAAUAAAUGUAGUCAAUGAGUUAAUUUUUAAUUAGUGGGAUGUCUGAUUUCACACCAGUAUCUUUUCAUAUGGAAAUCAUGGAACAUUUACAGAAAAUAUACUAUAAUAUUGGAACAGUAUAAUAUAUAUUGUUCCAAAAUAAAUAUUAGUAGUGGAUAGUCUUUAAAUGUACAUUAUUUCCAACUUAUGAUGGCAUCAACUGACUACCUUGAGGUUCAGAUCAAACUAUAUCAUAAGCCAAGGAUUUUCAUGAUUUGUAUUUUAUAAAUAUAUUUAUGCAUUGAAUAUCUAGCAUUUAAAAGUAUAUAAGUCUAUUUCAAAGAUUUUAUUUAUUAAUUAAGAAGUAAAUCAGACCAAAUGAACUUAAUUUAUUCUGUCUUUUACUAAUAGAAUUAUAAUAAUAAUUUUUGUUUUAUGUUAUAUAAAUAUGAUUUAAUUCAGUUCUACAUACUUCAGAUCUUUGAAAUUGUACUGUUCUAUUCUUCAUGGAAUCACUGUCUUCCCAGAAAAAUACAAAAAAAUAUAACUGAUUAUAUAAGAUAUGCAAAUUUGUUGAGAAUAUUUAAAAUUUGGAUGAAUUUUAUAAUUCAUUUCCAUAAUGAUUUGACUAUCAUUAAAUCUCCAUGUUAGAACUUUACUAAGAAUUCAAGGUUCUUCCCAUCAAAAGAAGCUAGACUUCUUAGAAAAGUUAACAAUUAUGAUGAUAAAUAUUUAGCAGAGAUGCUUGAGAUUCUAAAAAGACAAAAACAUGAAGACUUUAUUAAUGAUAGACCUCUGAAAAUGUUUCUCUAACAAUUAUCUAUAAAUUUCUAAAAAUUUUAAGGUUUGUUCAACUUUUAUAAUUACAAUGAAAAACAGCACUGUUUGGCAGUAAAUACUUUCUUUAUAGUAAACAGACCAGGUUCAGGAAACGAAAG
rnacentral:lncRNA from 1 species